rnacentral:rRNA from 1 species
UACGAAGGUCUCAAGCGUUGUUCGGAUUUACUGGGCGUAAAGAGCUCGUAGGCGGUUUGUCACGUCUGCUGUGAAAUUUCGAGGCUCAACCUCGAACUUGCAGUGGGUACGGGCAGGCUAGAGUGCUGUAGGGGAGAUGGGAAUUCCUGGUGUAGCGGUGGAAUGCGCAGAUAUCAGGAGGAACACCAAUGGCGAAGGCACAUCUCUGGGCCGUAACUGACGCUGAGGAGCGAAAGCAUGGGGAGCAAACAGG